GGGGUAUCGCCAAGCGGUAAGGCACCGGUUUUUGAUACCGGCAUUCCCUGGUUCGAAUCCAGGUACCCCAGCCA
rnacentral:tRNA from 16 species